CCUGUGCUCGCGUGGAUAUUAUUUUUGGACCGCUUUUUUGCGAUGCAAUGUCGAUUAUUCAUAUAAUUUCGUUUUUAUAUUCCUAUUGUGCUAAAGUUAUCGCAACAGGUUAAAUAAACAUAACGGAUUUUUGGGAAAAAAGUGGAUAUUUGUCUUGAUGCAUUUAUCACCGUUAUUUUAGGAACAAUAAAUAUGUUCAUGGUGUGUUACAGCAAAAAAAGAACUUUUGACCUGUCCAGGAAUAGUACUGUAUCAGAAACCUGCUGACAAGGAUGUGUUUUCGGUAGGCCAAUGACCCUCUGUCUUGGAGUGUCCACUGAAACGUUUUUGUACGUGUGCCUUAAAAAUCAAACCGCUUAAGGUACUGCGACGGAUAAAUAAAUGCUG